UCAUUUUUUCUUUUGGUGCAGUUCUCUGCUAGUUUUGCAUAGUUGCACUACAAGAAAACGGGAGUUGUGCAAAUCUAUGCAAAACUGAUGGUGGCCUGCUGCUUCUCCACGAUUCCCA
rnacentral:precursor_RNA from 8 species